rnacentral:rRNA from 1 species
UUUGCGUCGAAGGUAUACCGGUAAGGAGUGCUGGAGCGAAUAGAAGUGAGCAUGCAGGCAUGAGUAGCGAUAAUUAAUGUGAGAAUCAUUAACGCCGUAAACCCAAGGUUUCCUACGCGAUGCUCGUCAUCGUAGGGUUAGUCGGGUCCUAAGUCGAGUCCGAAAGGGGUAGACGAUGGCAAAUUGGUUAAUAUUCCAAUACCAACAUUAGUGUGCGAUGGAAGGACGCUUAGGGCUAAGGGGGCUAGCGGAUGGAAGUGCUAGUCUAAGGUCGUAGGAGGUUAUACAGGCAAAUCCGUAUAACAAUACUCCGAGAACUGAAAGGCUUUUUGAAGUCUUCGGAUGGAUAGAAGAACCCCUGAUGCCGUCGAGCCAAGAAAAGUUUCUAAGUUUAGUUAAUGUUGCCCGUACCGUAAACCGACACAGGUGGGUGGGAUGAGUAUUCUAAGGCGCGUGGAAGAACUCUCUUUAAGGAACUCUGCAAAAUAGCACCGUA